rnacentral:lncRNA from 1 species
UUUGGUGAAGGUUUAUUCACAGAUUUGUCAUCAUCUUUUCGAAUCAAUUAAUUGCUUGAAGACUUUAAUUAAUUUGAAGGUUUUGGGUGGUAAGAUAAUUUGAGUUUUCACUCAAAUUGAGGUAUUUUUGUAUUCUCUCAAUUUCUUAAUAUUUCAAGUUUUUAUUUAUAAAACUUGGAAGGACUUUGUAUUCACAGUUGAUUAUAGUGGAAUUUUUCGGAGUUUGGCCCGUAGUUUUUACCUCUUAAUUUUAGAGGGUUUUCCACGUAAAUUUUGGUGUUUUGUGAUUGGUUUAUUUUUCGUAUUAUUAUUUUCUGUGGUUAUAAUUUAUUUGGUGGAAUUGUAUAAUUUAUUUGGC